AGGACGAACGCUGGCGGCGUGCUUAACACAUGCAAGUCGAGCGGAAAGGCCCUUCGGGGUACUCGAGCGGCGAACGGGUGAGUAACACGUGAGUAAUCUGCCCUUAGCUCUGGGAUAGCUCCGGGAAACCGGGAUUAAUACCAGAUAUGACCACUUUAGACAUCUUUUGUGGUGGAAAGAAUUUCGGCUGGGGAUGAACUCGCGGCCUAUCAGCUUGUUGGUGAGGUAAUGGCUCACCAAGGCGACGACGGGUAGCCGGCCUGAGAGGGCGACCGGCCACACUGGGACUGAGACACGGCCCAGACUCCUACGGGAGGCAGCAGUGGGGAAUAUUGGACAAUGGGCGCAAGCCUGAUCCAGCAAUGCCGCGUGGGUGAAGAAGGUCUUCGGAUUGUAAAGCCCUUUCGGCGGGGACGAUGAUGACGGUACCCGCAGAAGAACGCCCCGGCUAACUUCGUGCCAGCAGCCGAC
rnacentral:rRNA from 1 species